CCCACGUGGAGCACAGGGCACAAAGUCACAACAGCCAAUCAACACAUUAUUGUAUAGUUAGACACUCCUAGCUAAUGUACACAAACCUUCCCCUCUGCCUGAGAUACAAUUAACAAACACAAUGGACUAACUCUUACCACAGGCAGAAAAUAUCCAGUUUUACCCAAAGUCCAGAAACACCCCAAAACAGUUGGAAAAACGGCACCUCGGAGGGGAUAUGAAAACAUUAUACAAAUAUAUUCGGGGUCAGUACAAACCAUUAUCUGGAAAUCUAUUCAUAACCUGGGCUAUACAUAGGACACAAGGUCACACAUUUAGGCUGGAAGAAAGGAGAUUUCAUUCAAGGCUAAGAAAAGGUUUUUUUACAGUAAGAGCAAUAUGGAUAUGGAAUUCACUGCCUGAAGAGGUGGUUUUGUCAGAGUCCAUACAGAUGUUUAAGCUGAAAUUGGAUAAAUACUUUGAAAAACAUAACAUACAAAGAUAUUUCGUAUACAAUAAGCCAUACAUAACUCGGCUUAUUGUAUACGACCACAAAUAUACUCACACAUACAUAUAUUAAUUAAUAUUAUCGUGAGCUCUGUGAUAUUAACAGGAAUUUACUGGAAGUCCUUACUGAGGGUCACUUCACUCAUCUCAACCUGCUACAACUUUAAUGACGCCAAAGACACUUUCACAUUCAGCCAUUUUAUUUUAAAUGUGUCAUAUCUGAUCAGUCAGUAUUGAUAUGUUGAUGCAACCCUGCUCACACCAAAACUGCAGGAUAUUCCAUGCCAACUUAAAAGCUAUAGUAAGACAGACAGAUCAUCCUACCUACAUAUUUACUAGGCCAGUUCAAUUUAUAUUUUUG